GUUCUACUCCCUCCGUGCCAUUCGAUUUAAACUUUUUUACCCAAAAAUGACAAAUUCUGAUAAAGCGUCCUUUCUUCUUUAAUUAAUUUCCUAAGUACAAACAUAAAUAUUUCGCGCUCUAGAUCGAAUUUUAAAAAUCCCCCCAGGAAAUUAAUUAAAGAAGAAAGGACGCUUUAUCAGAAUUUGUCAUUUUUGGGUAAAAAAGUUUAAAUCGAAUGGCACGGAGGGAGUAGAAC